CGAGGCAACUCUGGAAAGAAGCACGGUUCCCACCGGGCUCACCGAAGGUGCAAGCGUUCCUGCCUGCAGGCACGCGGAAACUCUCAGGUCAAUGACAGAGCGGGGAGG
rnacentral:ncRNA from 2 species